GAUUGCGCGUGUGCAAGUAUAACUAUGCCGCAGAAAGGAAAUAGUUCAACACCGAAAGACUGAUUAUUAGAAAUCUACAGGAUGGCAUGAGUAGAUAUUUUUUUUUAGUACUUACUAUCAAUAGAGCUAUUUUAUGAAUCACAGUUUAUGUUGCCCCACUGAAGUGGAACGAACCAACACGAUCUCGCUCAGCCAAUAUGUCACAGGACAGUUGGGACUGAUUUUAUUGAUUGUUUUAGUGUGUAUAUUUUAGAGUUUUAUCAUUGCAUGUUUUUAUUCUCUUGUGUUUUUAGUUGUGUUUUAAAUUUCCCACUGCCUGUGAACGCACCACUUGAGCAAAUGCACUGCACCUGCGAGGUUCUCCCGUUCUCCCCACAGACCCAAUCACGGCGGAGGAGGAGGUUCCCGACCGGAAAAAGGAAAGGAACAAAAGACCGUGGAGCCACGAUGACGAAAGACGGAGCUUGGUAGGAGAAGGCAGCCGACGCCACAGAAGACCGGGAACUUCGAGCGGGGGGAGAAGACGACAGAAAACCCAGAACGCUACAAUACGUCACACUCGCAGCGGCAGGGCUUCAACGCUCUGCCUGGUGUGUAAGUACCCUUCGGGAUAAUUAGUCGCGUUCUGGUGUGGCAUCUCUAGGAGAGUGUCGAUACUGGCAUUAAUUUCGUGUGUUCCAGGUGGCCUCCAUGUCGGAAGGAACAGGCACUGGAAAAAGACACUAGCUACAAGUCCCCCCUCCAACCCUGUGCACCACUUUGGGUCUGGCUGAAUCCCUCUUUUUAAAACAGAGACUUCUCGUUUUUAUAAACAAUAUUCCUGUUGGCUUUUUAACCUCUGUCGCCCCAAUUUAAACCAUUUUAUCAGGUUUUUACCAGUUGGUCUUACUGUCGUUUUAAGAAUAAGCUCUGUCAAAAUAAAACCUUUGUAUAUGCA